AACUUUUAGAUUGCAGCGCGAACUGGCAGACUAGAGUGCGCACAACGUAGGCGGAAAUCAUGGUGUAGCGGUGAAAUGCUUAGAUAUCAUGACGAACUCCGAUUGCGAAGGCAGCUUACGGGAGCGCAACUGACGCUAAAGCUCGAAGGUGCGGGUAUCGAACAGGAUUAGAUACCCUGGUAGUCCGCACAGUAAACGAUGGAUGCCCGCUGUUAGCACCUAGUGUUAGCGGCUAAGCGAAAGCAUUAAGCAUCCCACCUGGGGAGUACGCCGGCAACGGUGAAACUCAAAGGAAUUGACGGGGGCCCGCACAAGCGGAGGAACAUGUGGUUUAAUUCGAUGAUACGCGAGGAACCUUACCCGGGCUUGAAUUGCAGAUGUUUAUAUCAGAGAUGAUAUAUUCCCUUCGGGGCAUUUGUGAAGGUGCUGCAUGGUUGUCGUCAGCUCGUGCCGUGAGGUGUCGGCUUAAGUGCCAUAACGAGCGCAACCCCUUUUUUUAGUUGCCAUCAGGUAGUGCUGGGCACUCUAGAGAUACUGCCACCGUAAGGUGUGAGGAAGGUGGGGAUGACGUCAAAUCAGCACGG
rnacentral:rRNA from 1 species